AACGCGAAGAACCUUACCUAGGUUGAACUACGCAGGAAUAGCCACAGAGAUGCGGUGUCCUUCGGGGCCUGCGAUAGGUGGUGCAUGGCUGUCGUCAGCUCGUGUCGUGAGAUGUUGGGUUAAGUCCCGCAACGAGCGCAACCCUUAUCCUAUGUUGCCAGCGCGUAAUGGCGGGGACUCGUGGGAGACUGCCGGGGUCAACUCGGAGGAAGGUGGGGACGACGUCAAGUCAUCAUGCCCCUUAUGUCUAGGGCUGCAAACAUGCUACAAUGGCUGGUACAAAGGGCUGCAAAACCGCGAGGUCGAGCGAAUCCCAAAAAGCCAGUCUCAGUUCGGAUUGAAGUCUGCAACUCGACUUCAUGAAGCUGGAGUCGCUAGUAAUCCCGGAUCAGCAACGCCGGGGUGAAUACGUUCCCGGGUCUUGUACACACCG
rnacentral:rRNA from 1 species